UAAGAAAUCAGUCUUUAGGCAUUACCCUCU
rnacentral:piRNA from 1 species